CUAAUAACAUCCAGGCCAUAGCGGGGAGACCUGAAGAGAAAAACAUAAACAAAGGUGUGUUUGUGCUGCAGCUGGGAAACACCUGCUGAGCUGCCUGGAUGACCUUAACAUACCUGCACCUGAUCACUGAGGCUCCAAGUGUAGGACAUGUUCUUGCUGGCGUCCAUGGGGUCGGCUGGUGGAGGGGUGUCUCACAUCUCUGGAGUCCCACAUCAGACGGAUCUACGGUAACAUGAUCAACCAAAAGCUACAUGUACAGAUGUUUAAAGGGGACAUGAAGUCGGACUCAGAACUGUAUGACUGUAACAGCUUGUUUGCUUCCCACUCUAACUGUCCACUGCUACCAUAGACUGAGGAAGCAUUUGGCCUCAUUAAACUGUAAGUUAUGAUAAAUAUAUCUGAUUCCAGUCCUUCAAAUUCAAUGUUUCUGCAUUCU